rnacentral:rRNA from 1 species
CAGUAGCCACGGUAAUACGUAGGGUGCGAGCGUUACUCGGAAUUACUGGGCGUAAAGCGUGCGUAGGUGGUGGUUUAAGUCCGUUGUGAAAGCCCUGGGCUCAACCUGGGAAUUGCAGUGGAUACUGGGUCACUAGAGUGUGGUAGAGGAUAGUGGGAUUUCCGGUGUAGCAGUGAAAUGCGUAGAGAUCGGAAGGAACAUCUGUGGCGAAGGCGACUAUCUGGGCCAACACUGACACUGAGGCACGAAAGCGUGGGGAGCAAACAGGAUUAGAUACCCGCGUAGUCCCUGUCUCUUAUAC